rnacentral:tRNA from 1 species
GGAUUGUAGCUCAGUGGUAGAGCACUUGCCUCGCAUGUGUGAGGCACUGGGUUCGAUCCUCGGCACCA